UGUGAGCAGACGUUGAACUCGCCUCCUCCCAUGAACACAACCAGGUUACAACAAUUUUAGGAAGAAUCACGCUGGAUUGAAAACUGAAAACUGGAUAAAAAGAACCCCCACAACAAGGGACAGUCCUGACGAAAGCAGAAGAGGCAGCAACUCCGGCAGGAGAGGAAAAAAGCCACCUUUGGGAGCAGCGGAGCUUCUCAGCUGGCCAGGCGGGAGCCACUCUAAGUUCAUAGGUCUAUGGACCAAGAGAUCAUCCACCUGAAGGUCCAGCUGGAGUAAAAGGGGAUGCUGGGGAAGCAGCUCCAGAGGAAGAGCAGCAGCAGAAAGAAGACCAUGUCAACCUCAGUGGGG
rnacentral:lncRNA from 1 species